AGGAAUAUUGGUCAAUGGGCGAGAGCCUGAACCAGCCAAGUCGCGUGAGGGAAGACGGCCCUACGGGUUGUAAACCUCUUUUGUCAGGGAGCAAGAACAGGCACGUGUGCCUGACUGAGAGUACCUGAAGAAAAAGCAUCGGCUAACUCCGUGCCAGCAGCCGCGGUAAUACGGAGGAUGCGAGCGUUAUCCGGAUUUAUUGGGUUUAAAGGGUGCGUAGGCGGACUGCCAAGUCAGCGGUAAAAUAGCGGGGCUCAACCCCGUCGAGCCGUUGAAACUGGUGGCCUUGAGUGGGCGAGAAGUACGCGGAAUGUGUGGUGUAGCGGUGAAAUGCAUAGAUAUCACGCAGAACUCCGAUUGCGAAGGCAGCGUACCGGCGCCCGACUGACGCUGAAGCACGAAAGCGUGGGUAUCGAACAGGAUUAGAUACCCUGGUAGUCCACGCAGUAAACGAUGAAUGCUAGCUGUCCGGGACGAAUGAGUCCUGGGUGGCACAGCGAAAGCGUUAAGCAUUCCACCUGGGGAGUACGCCGGCAACGGUGAAACUCAAAGGAAUUGACGGGGGCCCGCACAAGCGGAGGAACAUGUGGUUUAAUUCGAUGAUACGCGAGGAACCUUACCCGGGCUCAAACGCACUACGAAUGAUGCUGAAAGGUGUCAGCCAGCAAUGGCGUAGUGCGAGGUGCUGCAUGGUUGUCGUCAGCUCGUGCCGUGAGGUGUCGGCUUAAGUGCCAUAACGAGCGCAACCCCUACCGACAGUUGCUAACUGGUCAAGCAGAGGACUCUGUCGGGACUGCCGGCGCAAGCUGUGAGGAAGGCGGGGAUGACGUCAAAUCAGCACGGCCCUUACGUCCGGGGCGACACACGUGUUACAAUGGCAGGUACAGCGGGAAGCCACCUGGCGACAGGGAGCGGAACCCGAAAACCUGUCUCAGUUCGGAUUGGAGUCUGCAACCCGACUCCAUGAAGCUGGAUUCGCUAGUAAUCGCGCAUCAGCCAUGGCGCGGUGAAUACGUUCCCG
rnacentral:rRNA from 1 species